CGAGGGUAAAAAAAAGUCUGUGGGUCAAAGGGCCUUUUCGUAUCAUGCCCCAGUAUUGUGGAAUGGUCUCCCAGUGUUGAUAAGACAGUCCGAUACUGUGGAGACCUUCAAGUCAAGACUAAAGACAUAUUUUUUCCAUCAGUGUUAUGGUUAAUAGUGUUAUUCCACUUUUU